rnacentral:lncRNA from 1 species
AGAGGCCAAAGCUGGGAGAAUUUGAGGAACAGUAUAAAUGACGGUAUUAGAUAACCACCAAAGAUCAAUGAAUAAACACCCAUGAGUUCAUACUGAUAGAAAUGACUGAAAUAACAAAUCUUCCUUACAGUAGAAUUCCAAUUAAUAAACGUAGAAGCAGGAAAUCACCAUGAAAACAUGACAAUAAUAAUUACAACAGGCAAGAUCCACUGGUGAAUACUAAAAUUUUGUGAGUUAAACUUUAAUACAAGAUAUUUUGCAUAACAAUACUUCAGUUUUGAUGUUUUUCAUUCAUUAAACCAAAACUUCUAAAAUGGCAUCAAUUUGCAAACAAAAACACUUAAAAACAAUGUCUUUUGGAGAGGUAUUUUAAUUCUAUUUGUAGGUUCAGGUGUUCAACUCAUUCAUCACUAUAACAAACAUCAUUCAAAGCCUCACUCUUAAUUCUAACAGAAUUGAUUACAAUGGCCCUUCUCUUGUGGCAUCUUUCAUUGAGUCUUGGUAAAUGUUGAUAAAUAAUUCAAUGAAUUGCUAAAACGUCUGAUAAGCCUUCUGAGCUGGCUAAUAAACUCUUUUGGCAACCAAUGUAUCUUGUGCUCCAUUCGUUGCACAAUGAUGAAAAGAGGAUUUUUUUCCUUCUAAAUAAUUUAAUUUUCAAAUAAUAAAUGCCUGUGUGUCCAUCAUUAGUAAUUUUGCUAUUUUCUAUGACUUUUCAUCCUACCAACCUUACAUAUGGAAGCAGGAAAGCUUCAUAUCCUUUAACCCAAUAUUGUGUGGCUUAACACAUCUUGAAAUCACUCGUGCCAGUUGACGAAAUAAGACUCUACCUUCCAAUAGACGUUUUCUAACAUUCCAAUGACUGUACUCUCAUUUCACAACUGUUCCUCUUAAAUUUGUUAGCACUUCACAUGGUGAAAUAAGGGCUAAAUAAGUACAUUUGCGUAUAUGUAUGAGGUUUAUAAAGUACUUGAACACUUGAAAAGGGAAACAAAGUAAGCCAUGAUAAGAACUCCAAAGUGGUAUAAUCAACUUUACUCAAGUGUUUUUUAAAAUUUACACCUAACAGCCAAUGCCAAGGUUCAAAAUAGCCAGAUACUCUUCUUGGCUAUAAGUGAACUCAUUCUUACACUAAGUUAAGCAACACCCAAGGUCAGCUGUGAGGGCUUUUCGUGCAUUAAUUAAUCCUCACUGCACCCUCUUCAUUGUGAUUCAAUACGCCUGUCCUUGUGGCACUUACAUUCUAGCAGGGAACAGACAAUAGGUACAUAAGUGAACAAAUAAUCUAGUUUGUCUCAAACCCCUUUAAUAGUGACCUUUGAACAUGGAAUCCACGGGCCAGCAGCUAUCAACAUUCUCCUGAAAUUCAUUCAUUCAUAAACUCUUAAUCAUUAUUACAGUCAAAAAGGCCACUGAGUAAGCAGUCCUGGCCCUACCCACCCUUUACUGUCUAUCUCCAUUUUACAAAAGAAAAUGGAGAUUGUGUCAAGAAUCUAGAUCCCUUUCCCCAAGUGCUUAUAACACUUCUGCCACUCUAAUACAGUACCAUGCGUGCCUCCUCUACCUCAUGACCCACACACCACAAACACAUAGCACUGAAAGAUGCAUGCUUAUCUUUUAAUGGCUUCUUUGGUUUCAAAGCAAGAGUUUAGCUACACUUUGCUUAACAGGCACAGGAAAGGAACAGAUGUAGGACUUAUUACACGCUGUACCACUGGAAUAGUUUUUUCUUAUCUUUGACAACAUUAUGAACAAUAAACCCACCUCUAAAGACGUACCCAGAAUACUGUGUGUGUGUGUAACCUGAAAUAAUUAUUUCCUCCAUGUGAAUAAGUUGUCCAUUUGCUAUAAUGUUCACCAGUUUGAUUAUAUUCAACUUUUAAAAGGGGGGGGGGGGAGUCUCAUUGCCCACCUUCCUUAUAUGUAAUCACUUUCAUUAGCUUCUGGCUUAUCCUUCCUGAAUUGCCUAUUUGCAAAAUUGAUUAAAUAUGUGUAUGAUACAUACAUAUUUUCUUAUUUUCUCUGCUUUAUGAAAGGUAGCACACUAGACACCCUUGUCUGCAUCUUGCUCUUGUUUUCGGGAAUGGUAAAAUCUUUAACAAGGUACCUACCCUUUGAGUCUAUGCAUCUGUAAAAUGGGGAGAACACUGUGUGAGGAUUAAACAGAAAAACAUAAGGAACUCACCACAGGACCAGGCAGUGACAUGUCCAGUACAAUAAAUGCUACCUCUCCGCUGUUGCUACACUGUUCCUGCUGCCGCCCAUGGUGGUUAAGAAGGCUAUAACUCACUACAAAGCCCCUUUAGACUACAGAUUACACGCCCAGAGGAAAUCAGGAGAGCACAGCCCAUCAUCCCAGCUUAGAUGGCUUAUAGCUCUCUCCCUAAGGCAAAUAAAGUUUUCAGUCACUUAUUAAACACACAGGGUGACUACCCAAAGUUUAUUGUUUGAGACAAACUUAAAAGGAUUCCCAGAAAGCCCAUGUACAUGUACAGUAGAUUCUUCCACCUUCAAACAAAGUCAAGGUUUCCAAAUUUCGUUAUGUGUUUGAACACUCUAGUGUAUCCGGAGAAGUCUAGAAAGUGUCAUUGGGAGGAAAACUUUGCCUCUACCAACUUAGGUUCAAGUGGUUGAGGGCCUGUGUGCUAACAGACAUAUUAAUAGGAGAAAAGUUUAUUAUAUAUGUAUGCAGGAGCACGCUGUAAGGAGUAGCUCUCUGAAGUGCAGAGAUAAGAUUUUAUACAUCAGCUUAAUGGGAUGGGUGAGGAGGGUGUUAAGGCUGCAGUGGGAAAGUAUGGAAGGUUCUGAUAGGAUAGGGUUAUGGCAGCUGAAUUCUCAGAAAGGCCUGCUUUACUCAUCAAAGGGAAUGCAGGAAGGCUUUUUUUCUGCAGCUGCUGUUUGUUCACCUGUUGUCAGUUUAAAAUAGUCUUUAUGCCAUCCUGGGUGUUAGUCUCUUCAUUUCCCUGUUUGAAAUGAAGUUUCACAGGUAAAAAACUGGGUCGAUUGCUGUGGAGAGAAGAUUUGGGUUAGAAGUCGGGAGGUAAGAGAUCUGCAAAAGGAAACAACGACACAGAUUCGAACAAGGAUGAGAAAGCAGAAAAGAACAAAUCCAAACACACAGCCCCCUAUCCCAAUGAACGAGUCUCCCACUCCCGAGAACGGACCAGUCCAAUUAAACGACUGUGCUUCGUUCAUUUGACACAGAAUGUUGACCUGUUCUUUUACAUGGUUCACAAGAGACAUUACAUCUCCUGUCUUAUUUACACAGAAGCGGCAUUGUUUGCCAAUGAGUGCACACGGUAUUCCUUGUUGGGCAGCCGGGGUGCGCAGGAGAUGAGGGUUUUGGAGUACAGUGGCUCAUCUGGUAAAUCCUGAUUGGCGUGCUUCCAAGGUCUGCCCAGCGGCAGCGAAUCCUUGCUCCAUUACCUAAUCUAGAGAUGUUUGAAAUUGCUUCUUCUAGAUCUGAAGUUCCUAAACUUGGAAAAAGGGUCCUUAUUGAAUUGGUCUUGAGACGCAUGAGUGGAUGGUCUCUGAUGUCUCAUUGGGUGCGUCUAAUUGGUGCUUGAAGAAGCCCAGGUCUGGAAUCUGGCUAGCAUUUCAAGGGGUGAGGGAAGGUGCCAGGUAUCCAGGUCCACAACAUCUGACCCUUUAGGUGGGAACCCUUUAUAUACUUUAUUGCCACACAAAGAGACCAGCAUUGUUCACAGACAAGGUCAGAGUGGAAGAAGUGAUCCACCAGGUUGGGGUCCGGUGUCCACUGUGACCUUUGUCAUUCGUCGUAGUGGCAUCUGCACAUCUUCAUUCCCCACGAGCCUCUGUCAGGUUGUGAAAUACCUUUGAUUUGACUUUGGCAGUUAUAGAGGCAGGUGUCAUUACCUGACCAAGUCACUCCAGAAUUUUGGUCCACCUACUUGUAGUCCUGGGUAUUGGGCAGACCAACCAGGGGAACAGCUGAGCUGUUCCAGCUCCCAUUUAUGCUGCCUGUGAGCCAGGAAUACUGUCCAGUGACUAGGCAACAUUUGUAUCAUAAUAAUCCAUAUAAAUGGACUCAUUUAUAACAUCUACAGAGGGUUUGAAGGUGCUAUUUGUGGAAUCAAACCAUAGUGUUGAUGACAGUAUUGUUCUGGUAUGUUACCUAGGAAAGGUCCAGUGCCAUUUUUAUUUUCAACGCAAAGAGAAAAAUUUCUCUCCAAUAGCCUCACCUGAGUAAAGGAUAGACCUUGAGCUUCCACAGGGGUUUCCCAAUGCAAAUCACUCUAGCAUAGGAGGAAUGAGAGUGAUUUUGUCCUCCUGCUUGUGGAUACCAUUCCCUUUCACACAUCCAUUGUCCAGAAUGGGUUCACCAGGUACUUGCAAUGUCAGGAACAAAAACUAGUUCAGGUCUUUGUGUGUUAUCUAGAUCUUGACAUAACCAGCAAUCAGAUUGAUUAGCUAAGGUGGCCAGGGUUUGAAAGACCAGUGUGAGUGGGUGUGGGGGUUCUGCUAGAAUUGUUGAAAAAACAGCAAGGGUUAGUUGAAGCAAGACACAGUCAGAAAGGGAGCCCACAGUGGAGGAACACGGGGAGAAUAGGUUAAUACAAACAAUCUCUAGCCAAUCUUUCUGUAAAUAAAAGAGGAAGAGUUUUGUUUAAAUUUCUAGGUCAGAG